AAUCCACUCUGCCCAGAGAGUUCACUUCUUUGCUUUCUCUUGGGAGUGAUGCUGUGGAAUCUGCUAGCCUGGGAGACCUCUUUAGCUCCUGACUUCCUAUGGAACAACCAAGAGAUUCAGAAUGUAAAGCAAGGCUGAAGAAACAACUACCUCUAGGGAUCCAUGGUUUGUAUCUUCUUUGUGAACCCAUCUAUUACAUCAACGAUGACUACUGAUGCUGUCGGAAGCCUCUCUUUGGUUCAUGUUAGAGAAGUCUGAAGCUCGUUCAGCAAAAACAUCACAUCAAGCUGAGAUUUCUGCUCUCCUAAUCAUCUGCCCAGGAAUCCUGGCUGCAUAAUAACUAUAUGCAAAACUCAGAACAUAUGGUGCAGAAAACUAAUUACUGUAUCAAUAUUUCACUGUGUUGUCAGUGAUGGAAUCAUUGAGAAUGUUCUACAACUGUGGCUGUAGGAGCAAUGCCAGCAUGUUAGAUACUAAUAGCAGUAACAGGCCAACUUUACUACAGGGUAGCUGACUGCUGUGUCUCAGGGAGUUAUGUUUUUCUGUGUUUAUGAAAUAGUGGAACCUCCAGAGGGUGCAAACUGACCUCUUAAACAGUCAUCCUUUAUCAUUAUCAAGCCUAAUUAGAAGCCAUAUGCUCCCAGGGCUCACACACCAUGGAUAUACAACUUCAUAUAAACCUGCUAAAGCCCCAGGCUACAAAGCAAAACAGUUACUUAACAGUUAAACAGUUACUUAACAGUUAAACAGUUACUUAACAGUUAAACAGUUAAACAGUUACUUAACAGUUAAACAGUUAAACAGUUACUUAACAGUAUGAAGAUACAUUCAAAACUCACACAAAGCCAUUAUGGUCACAAUUGAACAGUCUAUGGGAGUACAUUGGCUACAUUGUAUCCAUCCUCAGGAAGCAGAGACAUGCCUACUGAUGUCUUCUUUCAUUUAACACAGGACUUCAGACAGUGGGACUGAGCCAUUCACAGGCAGGCAGCAGCAGCAGCAGCAGCAGCAGCAACAACAACAACAACAACAAAAACAACAACAACAACGACAACAACAACAACAGGUUGCUAGAUCUGCGGUCCAUACCACUGGACAUGCUGUUUGGGCAAGUGGAAUACUAGGAGUGCUUGACUGCGUCUCCAGCAGCCAUUAGGUGCUGGGCUUUAGGGAAGUGCCAAGACCAUACCUCAGAGGGUGGGAGAACACAGUCUAAGAUGUAGCAAGCUGAAGCUGGGGUUCCCUGACUCCAGGGCAUCCAGUCACCACUGGGGUGCUGCACAGAGGAGAAGGGAACAUAGAAUUAGGAGUCCACCCCCAGAGUUGAGGCCAGACCAGGUGCUCCCAAACUCCUGGAAAUCCAGGCAUAGCUGAGUCACUGAGUUGUGAGGAGAAGGGAGCAGAGUCAGGGCCUUGGGUUGAGCUUGGUGGAGGUUGUCUGGUAGCACAGAGGCCAUCUACUGGAGAUGGAGACGUACGCAGCAGCUCUGUAGGCAAAGGCCUUCUCCAUGCUCCCCAUGGUUUCAAUGGAAGAGACAGUUCAUGUUUAUACAUACCGUUUAUUGACUGUUCAUCGUGGAAAAUGAAGGCAUACCAACCUCUCAGGAUGGACCAGAGAAUAAACACCUUUUGCAGGGAGGAAUGUCUGCAUAUGGCCUAAACCCUAAGGAUCUCUCCAUACUUCAUUAGCACGGAGAACUCUGUCCUGGGGCCUGUGUGACCACAGGUCAGUUUCCUUUUGUAGGAAGUGUGGCACGAGUUCCAGGCCAGGUGUCAAGCUGGGAGCAGGGAGAUGCCUGCCAUCUCAGGUGGGUACCUGGGUACUAUGGUUUCAGACCUGCUCUACCUUACAAGUUUCCUGUCCUUGAAUACUCUCCUAAAGCUGGACUCCUCAGCACUUGAACAACUACAUUCAGAAAUCUGUAAUUACGGUACAGGGGUACAGAGAGACCCCGAGUGCCACAGACGGCUCAUAGCUAAUGAUUGAGCCGGGGAUGUAGGAAAACACAUCCUCUCUU